CCCCAGACUCCUACGGGAGGCAGCCGUGGGGAAUAUUGCACAAUGGGGGAACCCCUGAUGCAGCGCCUCCUCGUGAAGGCAGCAGAAUUUCGGUCUGUCCACUUCUAUCAUCCUGGAAGAAACUGCCGGUACCUGCCUCUUCAGCCCCGUCUCCCUACGUGCCCGCCGCCGCGGUAAUCCGUCGGUGGCAAUCUUUAUCCGGAUUUCCUGGGUGUAAAGGGCGUGUAGGCGGGAAUGCAAGUCAGAUGGGAAAACUAGGGGAGCAACUCAUAGCCUGCAUUUGAAACUGUAUUUCUUGAGUGAUGGAGAGGCAGGCGGAAUUCCGUGUGUAGCGGUGAAAUUCGUAGAGAGGAGGAGGAACACCAGUGGCGAAGGCGGCCUGCUGGACGAUGACUGACGUUGAGGCUCGAAAGCGUGGGGAGCAAACAGGAUUAGAUACCCUGGUA
rnacentral:rRNA from 1 species